GUUCAAUUGUCUGCCAAGUCUGAAGAAUGUGGAACUUUUUCAUGGCGGUGAGAUCAUCUCUUAUUACUAUCUGCCACUGAGAUCUACAUUGCCAUGUAUAGCUGAUUGUCUGCUUCUCCCAUGAGGAUGUAGCUCCAUUGCCGGAUGAGAUUUCAGCUUCCUCCUCCUCCCUUCAUUUCUUCCCUCCUAUUUUCCUUCCACUUGAAAUGUGUAAGAGAACUUUGAGUGUACUUUCUUAAAAUAAGAGUUAAAGGCAAGCAGACAUCAGUACGAGUGAAUAUGUUCUCAAGGGCAGCAGCAAGUGGGAAGACCAGGACAUCAGCAGCCCAAGGUGUAGUUAGUAAGUGUGUCACCGAGGACUUGAGUGACCUUGGGGAAAUGGUUAAC